UAGAUCUGAGAGUAAAAUAUAUUUCAUUUUAAGCUAUGCAUUUCAUUUGCAGUAUACCUCAAAAUGCACAAAAACAAAGAAUAUUAUUUCAAAAUGAAGUAUCUUAAUUUUUACAUAAAUUGAUAUAGUCAUAUUCUACAAAGAAAAAAUGAGAUAAACAUUGUAUUUACAAUGAGCAUAUUUAAAUCAUAGUAAUUUUAUUAUGAUAACUUUAUGUUUCACACGUACUUGUUGACGAACUGAGUACAAGCUCUCCAAGCAUCUAGUUCCUCAGAAAGCUGUUCAAUUUUCAGGGGUACAGAUACCUCCCGUCGUUUUAAAAGCUGACUAAAAAAAGAAAUAAAAACUAAUUAAAAUAUCUUCCCACAGAAAAAAAUUAAAUCAAGAAAAUAUACAUUGUUAGAAUUGAAGGGAAAAGAAGCUAGAAAUUAGAAAUAUGAAUCUGUCUUUGAGUAAAUGUUGAAUUGACCAUAAAAUUGGAUAUUUUUGCUAUACCACUAGAGUUACAUUUAGGAAUUAUUAGUUUUUAUAUUUUCAUAUAUAAUUAUCUUGAUUUAACUGCAGAGUUUUCCUUUGAAGUCUAUUUUUAAAGCUAUAUGCGCUUUUUUUUUAAAAUGAUAGUUAUUGAAUCUUAUAGGAAUUGUGUGCCUUGAUACGUAUUACUGACUGGUGUAUGCUGAAAUGAUAAAUACAAUAUCUGAGGAUGUUGGAGGGUUAAGUGGAUCAGUGUAAUGUUAUUUAGCACAAUAUCUGAAACAACCUUGUCUUGUCUGAGUACAUGUGGAAAUAGGAAUUUUCAGAAAACUAACACUGGACCUAAUUUUACAUAAACCAGAGCAAGAAAAGAGGGACAGCUUUUCAGUUUACUCAGUCCCUGAUUCUACAAGCAUGCAUGUACUUAUGUUUAAGCAUAUAUACAGGGCCAUUUGACUUUACUGGGACAUCUCAUGUGCUUAUGUGCUUUGUUGGAUUGGAGCAUAAAAAGCUAUGAGGUCAGAUUGUCGUGGAUUUUAUAGGUCUUGCAGGGUCAGGCUAAAGAAAUACAGCUUUAGAGGGUCCUUGUUCUCCUGAAACCUACAUGGAUUCUGUGAGCCCCAGGACGCCUCAAAGCUUGAUGUCUUAAGUGUCACAAAUAGAUUAUUACUAACCUAUUUUUCCUUAGCUUCUUGUUUCUCUUAUAAAAGAGAAUAUCUCAUCCUGUUGUUAUUUCCCAAAUCAAUUUCAGUCAAAUAAAAUUAUAAAGUACAAUUUACAAUUGAUAACUUAUGAUAAAGCAAGGAGAAGAUCUAGAAUAUCUAUUUACUUAUAAAAAACAAUCUUUUCUUUCAGGACCACACAGUUUGACUGAGGCCCAAAUUCUGUUUUCAGGCUGACCUUGUGCCUGUGCAAUGCAAGAAGCCAAUGGAGCUCUGGGUCAUUUAUCUCUGCUGUGGAUCCAGGAUAGAAAGCACAUAGCUUUACUAACUGCAGUUCAUUAUUGGGAGUCAUCAUGAGAAGAUCUGCUGCCAAGUCCCUGUGCAAACAGAAAAUGUACUCUCAACGACAUGUAAUGGUGGAGAUGCAGUGUCAGAGGUAGGUCUGUUUUCUUUACACUCGCCUUUCCUCUUACACUGAAGAAAUAUGUGUUGUUGCUGGGGCAAUGGAAAAGGGGGAUCAUUCCAGUAAUAACGGCUUAUGAGGAGAGUAUUGCCUCUUUUUGCCCUGUUCAACUCCAGGAAGUUGGUAAGGCACAAAGCUCCCAGAACUUCAUGAAA